GACGAACGCUGGCGGCGUGCUUAACACAUGCAAGUCGAACGGUGAAGCUCCAGCUUGCUGGAGUGGAUCAGUGGCGAACGGGUGAGUAACACGUGAGCAACCUGCCCCUGACUCUGGAAUAAGCGCUGGAAACGGCGUCUAAUACUGGAUACGAGAAGGGUCCGCAUGGGCACUUUCUGGAAAGUUUUUCGGUUGGGGAUGGGCUCGCGGCCUAUCAGCUUGUUGGUGAGGUAAUGGCUCACCAAGGCGACGACGGGUAGCCGGCCUGAGAGGGCGACCGGCCACACUGGGACUGAGACACGGCCCAGACUCCUACGGGAGGCAGCAGUGGGGAAUAUUGCACAAUGGGCGAAAGCCUGAUGCAGCGACGCCGCGUGAGGGAUGACGGCCUUCGGGUUGUAAACCUCUUUCAGCAGGGAAGAAGCGAAAGCGACGGUACCUGCAGAAGAAGCACCGGCUAACUACGUG
rnacentral:rRNA from 1 species